UACGUAGGGUGCGAGCGUUGCCCGGAUUUAUUGGGCGUAAAGGGCGCGUAGGCGGCUCGGCACGUCCGUUGUGAAAUCGCCCGGCUCAACUGGGCGGGGUCAGCGGAUACGGUCGAGCUUGAGCAAGCUAGGGGGUAAUGGAAUUCCCGGUGUAGUGGUGGAAUGCGUAGAUAUCGGGAGGAACACCAGUGGCGAAGGCGACUUUCUGGUCUGUAACUGACGCUGAGGCGCGAAAGCGUGGGGAGCAAACAGG
rnacentral:rRNA from 1 species